rnacentral:lncRNA from 1 species
CCAAACGGAACCCCUGAAGAGGGAAAAACCACUCUUCGGUCAUUUCGACCUCCAGGACGCUCAUGGUGGAUACGACUUCACUGGGGAGAGAACCCAUUGUAGGGGAAGAAAAGGAUUAAAAAAGCAAAAAGGACAACCUGGGGAAGAUACCGGAGAAAAGGGACUUCGGUCUGAGGAAGACUGGAAGAAUAGAAAGCUGGAAGCAGAAAACAAUAGGAAGAGGACAGAGGGCCAGGGGAGAGUUUAAAUAGACCUCCCCAACGGCCCGGAUCAGCGAGAAAAACGCUGUAUCCUGUUUAGAUGACGACGCGUGUCAGUCCAAAAGACAGAACAACGCAUUUAAUUAGGGCUAGCG